rnacentral:rRNA from 1 species
UACAGAGGUCUCAAGCGUUGUUCGGAUUCAUUGGGCGUAAAGGGUGCGUAGGCGGCGCGGUAAGUCGGGUGUGAAAUCUUGGAGCUUAACUCCGAAACUGCAUUCGAUACUGCCGUGCUUGAGGACUGGAGAGGAGACUGGAAUUUACGGUGUAGCGGUGAAAUGCGUAGAUAUCGUAAGGAAGACCAGUGGCGAAGGCGGGUCUCUGGACAGUUCCUGACACUGAGGCACGAAGGCCAGGGGAGCAAACAGG